AAUUGAAAUACAUCUUUCUUAGUGUUUUUUCCUAUGAUAGAUGUAUUUUUUUCCAUUUUUUUGGGGUUGUUUGAUGCUGCUAAUUGUUUCUUGAUAAUAUAUGGCAAUAAUUCGCCUUUAAUAGAGCUGAUGCUCCUUGUCAAUUAGUACUGCAGUGACAAUACAGCAAUUGAUUUACACCUGUGGCAUGAAGCUUCAUUUCUCGACAAAACUUCAGUACCUCUGGAAUAUGCUCCAGGGCAGUGACUAA